GGUCCCAUGGCGUAAUGGUUAGCACUCUGAAUUCUAAAUCCAGCGAUCCGAGUUCAAAUCGCGGUGGAACCU
rfam:Harpegnathos saltator strain R22 G/1 HarSal_1.0_2.contig1090, whole genome shotgun sequence.